UAUAACAUUUAAAAACUUCCACAAAGAUUUAUAUGUUUAAAAAGAUUACUAAAUUUAAUUUGUUAAGAAAGUAAGACGUUAUGUAGUGUUUAGUGAAAAUAUUGUGAUUCCACAUGUUUUGUUCUUGUUUUCAAUUUGUUUUUGGUUUUCUAUCUCAAAUAUGGAGACUGUUCACAUUUAAGUUGUUUAUUUAAUAAGGUGCAGAUAAAAGAUUUUUCCUUUUUUCUGCACCCUUUUCAUUCAAUAUUUCAUUUACUUUUCAUUGGAUCUUUGUUGAUUUUAAGAAUGAAAUAAUUAAUAAUUUGAGUGGUUUUAAAAGCAACUGAACAUCAUUAAACUAAAAUCCCUGCAGGUUCAACCCCUGACCUUUCAUCUCGGAGUGAGGAUGAUGAUGAUGAUGAUGAGGGGAACUAUGUAAACCAGCUACCUAUGAUUCACUCCUAACCCAGUGCAUGAUGGGAAAAACCGCAGUGAGCUCUUCAGCGUAGUCUUCAUCAGCCUUCAUCCCACAGACGGUUUCUUGAGCAGCUGGAGCUUCUGUCAAAAUUAAAACAAACCAGGAGAAACAUCUGAUGGAGCCACAGAUUGGAAACACUAAAUUAACAAACCCAGAUCAGUCAAUCCAGAUUAACAAGAGACGACUUCAUGCUUGCAGGUGUCAGAUUCUGACUUGUUUUGAAACAUUUGUAAGUGUCUGACAUCAUGAGACACCCACGUUUUAUUUGAUUUUACUGACAACUCCUGAGAAUAUCUUAAUCCAGUCCUUUAUGUGUCAUGACCAUGGUUAAUGUGAUGUAGAAAUGUUUUAAAUAAAGUUUAAAUGAAACCGUU